rnacentral:lncRNA from 1 species
CGCCAACUCAUUUGUACUACUCUACUUAGACGAGCACUACAAUAAAUUUAGUGUAUAACGAUAUUUUUAAAUAUCGAUAUAAAUAAAAAAAGGUAUUGCUAGCUAAAUUAUUAAUAUUUUUAAAAGUUAUUACUAUAUGUGGAAUCGCUAAGUAUAUAGUGACAGUUUAAGAAUGUCGGUAUAACCUAAAAAAAAAUAUUGCUAAUUUACCAACACUUAUUUAAGUAUUUAGUAACCACCGAAACUCUACCUCAUCGGCUACGACGCGGAGGAGGAGGAGAGGAGGAGGAGAGCGAGGGGCUCUUCAUCUAGGAUUUAAUGGAUUGAGUGAUCAGGGGAGAAGGAAAGAUGGUGAUCGAUUUUUUUUCUUUUUUUUUCUGUUUGUAAUCAAGCCGAGUAGGCUGGGAGGGGUUGCUUAAAUAUAAUAACCUUUUAUUUUUAGUUGGAUUGAGCUUUAUAUUUAGACUUUACUAGAAUUUUUAAAAAAAUUUUGGUAUAAAUGGAACACUUAUACAAAGGUGUUUUAAAAAUGUGUCCCUAUAAGCUCAUUCUGUUGUAGUAAAGUAGCCUAAAAUCGUCAAACUAUUGGCUCUGAUACUACAUGUUAGUAAUGAUGGAAUCUCAAGGUAUGUAAAAUAAAUAAAAAUAAAUACAUACCAAAUCCAGGAUCAAAAAUAAGAAUAUAAAAUAACUCACAGAGCGCCAUAGAGAAGAGAUUCUUGAUUAAUCUUGCGGAAGCUGGAAGUCUGGCUAUGAUCUGAAAGUCACGAACCAAACUUGGGUGAUUUGGUUUCUCCCCCUAUCUCAGGCACUCUGCCGUAUGGUGUGGAACCGAUGGUAAUUCUUCACCAGAAUGCGUAUGAGAAGGUGGCAGGACUAAUACCCCUUUAUAUAGAGUCCAGAUCGACUUCCCAUCAAAGUCUGAUUAUAAUUCUAUUCAAAUCUGAAAUAGAUGGGAUAGGGAUAAAAUAUACCAUAUCAAGUAGUUCUAAAUCUGUUAGGAUUGACUUUUAUCUAUAGCAAAUCCUAAAUUAAAUAUAAUUAAUUGGGCCACAAUAUAUGGAAAUCCUAACAAUCUCCCACUUGGCUCAUAUUAAUCAUAUUCCAUGAAUGGAUUUUCUAUACUCCAAUCUUUAUUGCGCAUUAUUGGAAACUUUAUGGUCAAAUAUCUUAGAACUCACUUGAUCUUUAGCUCAAACUAAAAGACUACAACGAUAGGAACUAUGGCGGUCCACCUCUUCAUAAAAAAAUUUUCCUUCCAUAAUUAUCGUAUCAUCUUCACCUCCUAGCCGAGUACUUUAUAUGGUACAACUUUAUGAAUGAACGUAAACUGUAUAUUCAUUCGUUAAUAGACGAAACUUUAUGUCUAUUAAAUGGUCCAACACAGCUGCAUUAAACUUUAACGAAAAAAGAUAGAUGUUACAAAUUUAUACAUCAAAAGAACUAAUCAAAUCCAUACUUUUAACACGAUCUGUAUAUGACCCAGGUGCCAGCCCCUUGGUCAUUGGGUUUGCAAUCAUACACUUGAUACUGAUGUACUCAAUUGCAACAUAACCUUUCUCUAUCUUCUCUCUCACAACAAGAUAUUUGGUGUCCAAGUAUUUACACCCUACUGUAAUCUUGUUGUUAUUGGCAAAGGAAAUCGCAGCUGAACUAUCACAGAAAAUCUUUAUUGGAUAAACACCGGAGUCCACAAUUCUUAAGUCUGUGAUAAAAUUCCUAAGCCAAAAAACCUGUGAUGUGGUAUCGUAACAUGCAAUAUGAUCCAAAAUUUUCUUCAUAUACCUCAUAACCUUCUUAGUAGCCUUCCAAUGCUUCAUAUCUGGAUUACUUUGAUACCUGUUAAGUAAUCCAACAACAAAAACAAUAUCCGGACGUGUGCACAUCUGUGCAUACAUAAGACUACCAACUGCAGAGGCAUAGGCUAUGCUUUCCAUCUGUUCAACUUUUAAUUGGAUCUUGGGACACUGAAAAGUAUUAAGCUUAUCCCCUUUCUGAACAGGAGCAACACUGGGCUUAUAAUUAUGCAUUUCAAAAUUUUCCAAACUUUCUUUAUAUAGGCCUUUUGAGAUAGACCGAGUAAACCUUUAUGUCUAUCCCUUUUGAUUUCAAUACCAAGAACAUAUGAGGCCUCACCUAAAUCUUUCAUUUCAAAAUUUUGGAAAAGAAAUUCUUUAGUGUUAUGCAAUAGCCCAAGAUCAUUACUGGCAAGCAAAAUAUCAUCAACAUAAAGGACUAAGAAAAUUAUUUUACUCCUACUAACCUUUAGAUAAAUACAUUGAUCAACAAUAUUUUCCUUAAAACCAAAGAUCAAAAUAGUUUGUUUAAAUUUAAAUACCAUUGUCGGGAGGCCUGCUUUAGUCCAUAUAUUGAUUUCUUUAAUUUGCAUACCAAAUGCUCCUUUCCCUUUUGCGAGAAUCCUUCAGGUUGAUUCAUAUACACCUCUUCAUAGAGAUCCCCAUUUAAAAAAGCAGUUUUGACAUCCAUCUGGUGUAGCUCGAGAUCAAAAUGAGCAACCAGAGCCAUAAUAAUACGGAAAGAUUCCUUUCUAGAUACUGGAGAGAAAGUCUCUUUAUAGUCAAUGCCUUCUUUCUGAGUAAACCCUUUUGCCACAAGACGGGCCUUGUAUCUCUCUAUGUUACCUUUGGAGUCCCAUUUGAUUUUAUAAACCCAUUUGCAUCCUACAGGUUUAACUCCAAUAGGUAACUCAACAAGAUCCCAUACCUUAUUGUGGUUCAUGGAUUCAAUCUCAUCCUUCAUGGCAUUGUACCAUUCCGUAGAAUUAUUACUAUUUAUGGCUUCGGAAAAACUAAGAGGAUCAUCUAAACUCUGACCAUUCUCAUAAAGAUAGACAAUAUAAUCACUGGAUAUAGCCGGUCUUCUCUGUCUUGAGGAUCUUCUUAAAUCUAUCUGAUUAUCCACAUGUAUAUCUUGAUGUGGAUUAUUCACUUGUGAAUUAUCCACUUGUACAUCUUGAUGUGAAUUAUCAAUGAUAGGUUCACAAUCAUUUUGUGGUUCCAAAACAACUUGUUGUUCUACUGGAAGAGGAACCAAUAAAUCGUGAGGGACAACAGUGGGUCUGUCAUGUACAGAAUCCGAAUGCUCCUGAAUUUCCUCAAAUUCAAUGAAUCGAGGUUCAGAGUUCCCACUAAUUGUACCAUCCUCAAUAAACCGUGCUGUUUUAGUUUCUGCAAUCUUUAUAGGAAGUGAUGGACAGUAAAACUUAUACCCUUUGGACCUUUCCGAAUAACCAAUAAAAUAUCCCGAUAUGGUUCGAGGGUCCAAUUUCUUUAUUUGUGGAUCAUACAACUUGGCCUCAGCUUGACAACCCCACGUAUGAAAAUGUCUUAAACUGGGUUUCCUACCUGUCCAAAGCUCAAAAGGAGUCUUAGUGACAGCCUUAGUAGGGACCCGAUUAAGAAUAUAUAUAGGGCAGUUUUGAGUGCCUUACUCCACAAUAAUAUCGGAAUGGUAGAAAUACUGAUCAUACUCCUGAGCAUAUCAAUUAAUGUGCGGUUUCUUCUUUCAACAACACCAUUCUGAUCAGGUGUCCCUGGCAUGGUGUACUGUGGAACAAUUCCGCACUGCUCCAGAAACUUAGCAAAAGGCCCAGGGAUAUGGCCUUUAUCUGUUUGUCUACCAAAAUAUCCACCACCCUUAUCUGAUCUGACUACUUUUAUCCUUUUCUCGAGUUGAUUCUCUACUUUAGCCUUAUAUGCCUUAAAGGCAUCUAAUGCUUCAGAUUUUUCUUUGAGUAAGUAGAGAUAGCCAUAUCGAGAGUAGCCAUUCUGAUCUGACUACUUUUAUCCUUUUCUCGAGUUGAUUCUCUACUUCAGCCUUAUAUGCCUUAAAGGCAUCUAAUGCUUCAGAUUUUUCUUUAAGUAAGUAGAGAUAGCCAUAUCGAGAGUAGUCAUCAGUAAAUGUGAUAAAAUAUUUAUGGCCAGUAAUUGAAAUAGGAAGAGGUCCGCAUAUAUCGGUAUGAAUCAACUCUAAUGUUCCAUCACAUCUUUUAGCAUCUUUAGAGGAAGUUUUGGUCUGCUUUCCCUUUAUGCAGUUCACACAUAUUCCAAAGUCAGAGAAGUCCAAAUCAUCUAAAAUGUCUUCUCUAAUUAACCUUUGGAUUCUCUGUUUCGAGAUGUGUCCUAACCUCUUAUGCCAUAACAUGGAUGACCUUUCAUUAUUAAUGCCACGUUUUGAUCCAACAUUUCCGUGCAUGGUAAGAAAAAUUUCACCAAAAAAAUUAUCUAAAAAUACUUUAUAUAGAUUAUUUUUCAAAACACCAGAACUAACUAUCUGAGAUUUAUAGGAUAAAGAAAAAACUUUAUUAUCAAAACUGAAACUGUAUCCCAAUCCAACAAGUUUCGAAAUAGAAAUUAAAUUCUUAGAAAAAUUUGGAAUAUAUAAUGUAUCUUCUAAAUCCAAAAUAUGAUCAGUAGAAAGAACUAAUCUAAAAGUUCUGGUAAAUUCUAUUUUAUUUGGAUUUUCUUCAGCUGUAUAGAUAGUCGCUUCAACUUUAUUGGGUUUUCUGUGAUUUUGAAAUCCCUGCACGGAAUUCGCCACGUGGCAUGUGGCACCAGAGUCAAUCCACCAAGUAUUAGACGGAACUAAAACUAAAUGCAACUCAUGCAUCAAAACUAGAAAUUUACCUUUCUUCUGGAGCCAUUUCUGAUACUUUUGGCAAUCAUUCUUUAUAUGACCAUUUUUCUUACAAAAGGAGCACUUGGGAGUCCAAUUACUUGAUUGGCCUUGUGAACCAGACGGAACUUUCUUGUUCUUUCUUUUUGAGUCAUACUUGCCCUUGCCAUUCUUAGCAUGCUUUAUUUGUCUCUUCUAAGAAACAAAGUUGACUGCAUUUUGUUUCUCUUGUAUUAAUCUGCCUUCCUCUUGCACACACAUGGUCAGCAAUUCAUUAAUUGACCAUUUAUCUUUAUGUGUGUUAUAAGAGAUCUGAAAUGGUCCGUAUUCAGAUGGCAAAGAGUUUAAAAUAAAGUGCACUAAGAAUGAAUCAGAGAUGGUUACUUCAAGUGCGGUGAGUUGCGCUGCAAUAUCUCGCAUUUCCAUAAUAUGCUCGCGAAUUGAGCCCUUUCCGGAGUACUUCAUGGAAGACAAUUUAUUCAUUAAGGUGCUCGCCAAGGUUUUAUCGGAGCUGACAAAUUGCUCCUCAAUGGCCUUUAGAUAAUCCUUAGCUUUAUCACAUUCUGGGAUUGAUCCCCUUAUGCUUUUUGAUACCCUUGACUUUAUGAGUAUCAAACUUAAGCGGUUGGAUCGCUCCUACUUUUCCUGCGCGAAUUCCUGCUGUGGACUCAUUGGCACCACUACCUUAGGCGGUUAUUCAGCGCGCAGAGCCAAAUCUAAAUCUAUAUAGCCCAAAAUGAACAUGAUCUGUUCUUUCCACUCCGAAUAAUUAGAACCAUUAAGUAUAGGAACAGAUUCACCAAUAGGAACAGAAAAUGGAGUCAUAGCUGAAAAAUAAAAUGCAUGCUUUAUCAAUAAAAUACCACAUCAUAAAUUACCACACCAAAAUUAGAAAAAUACACUUUAUAUGACAUCACAACCCCUCCUUUGGGAGCAGAGUUAUGAGCAUAAGUAUUCUUCGUUCUUUAUGCAUAUGCUUUAUAUGACAUCACAACCCCUUCUUUGGGAGCAGAGUUAUAAGCAUAAAUAUGCAAUCAUUCCUUAUGCAUAUCCUUUAUAUGACAUCACAACCCCUCCUUUGGGAGCAGAGUUAUGAGCAUAAAUAUGCAAUCUCUUUGUUAGAGAUUAAUUUAAACUUUCUGUAGGUCGUGAUAAUCUCAAAUUUUCCAUAUGAAGAAAAAUUCAGCUUUGGCCAGGCAAAUUUCUCCAAACGAGUUAUAAGAAAAUUACCAUCCUACACCACCCAUAUACCUUCAUGUCUAGACCUCCUUUGGGAGCAGACUAAACAUAAUAUUAAGGUGCAAUUUCGCAUGUACUUCUUUAAAGCAAUUAAUUUAUCUUUUCUUCCGGUCGGGCCGUUUUGGCUUGCACCCGAAUAGUUGAAGUAAUAAAUUAAUCUGACUUAGUACUGCAUAAUUAACAUGAAAAUUAUCCGAAAGCACUACUUUAAAGUAAAAUAAAUUAAUAUUUCUUUUAAUUAGGGCCGCUUUGGCUUGCACCUAACUAAUCGAAAUAAUAAAUUAAUUUAACUCAGCGCCAAAUAUUAAAUAAUCGAAAACAAUUAUGAUUAUUUAAUUUUCAUGUUCAUUUGGUCAAAAUAAGAAUAUAGAUGCGAUAAUUUAAAACAUGACAUUGCAAUCAAAUUUAAACUUUAUAUAUAUUUCAAUUUGACCUCAAAAAUAAUAUAAAUAGAUUUAUGACAAAUAAAUAUUGUAUGCAAAAUUAAAACCCUAUGUGAACGGAUUCUUUAUGUUCACGAUAUUUUAACAAGCAAGAGGAUCAAAUUUUGAUGAAUAAAAAAAAAAGGUUAAAUAAUAAUAAUAAUAAGCUUAUAGUUAAAACAAACUCUUAGCAAUAAAAAAUUCCAAAAGCAGCCAUGACGGAAUCGACAUGUCAUGAUAGACGGAAUUUGAAACGGGACAAAAUUCAAACUUUUCCAUAUAACUGACCCAGUUAAUACGAUUAUGAAAAACCAUGUUUAAAUACAAAACCGCGGAACAUACACGUGCUCAUAGCGGUUAAAUCCAAUCCAUGUAGCAGCCAAGCGACAUCCAACUCUUCAAUACCUUAUUAACCCAAUCUCUCAAGGGUUAGAGAAGCACCAUGCAUUAUCAGGACAUCGCCACAACACCGCAUCAUAAGCACGCGGCAUGAUUUUCAAAACGUUGCCAACCAUAAUUUAAUUUGCACACAAAUUAAAUUCAUAUAACAUGCAAGAUAUAUAAAAUCCAAAGACUAGUCAAUAUGCAACACCCUAUGUGCAAUGUGACGACGUUACAUCACCUUAAUUAGGAUCGAGAAUGUAAAACCCCUUUUUUUUUUUCUUUUUUUUUCUUUUUUUUUAAUCUAAAAUUCAUCAUAAUUUGAUCCAAUUACUUAAUGCAUACAAAAUUUAAUUUAUCAAUCUGGCUCUGAUACCAAUUGAUGGAAUCACAAGGUAUGUAAAAUAAAUAAAAAUAAAUACAUACCAAAUCCAGGAUCAAAAAUAAGAAUAUAAAAUAACUCACAGAGCGCCAUAGAGAAGAGAUUCUUGAUUAAUCUUGCGGAAGCUAGAAGUCCGGCUACGUUCUGAAAGUCACGAACCAAACUUGGGUGAUUUGGUUUCUCCCCCUAUCUCAGGCACUCUGCCGUAUGGUGUGGAACCGAUGGUAAUUCUUUACCAGAAUGUAUAUAAGAAGGUGGCAGGACCAAUACCCCUUUAUAUAAAGUCCAGAUCAACUUCCUAUCAAAGUCUGAUUAAGAUUCUAUUCAAAUCUGAAAUAUAUGGAAUAUGAAUAAAAUAUACCAUAUCAAGUAGUUCUAAAUAUGUUAGGAUUGACCUUUAUCUAUAGCAAAUUCUAAAUUAAAUAUGAUUAAUUGGGCCACAAUAUAUAGAAAUCCUAACAAGUAAGUUCUAGAC